UUACCGCGGCUGCUGGCACGGAGUUAGCCGGUGCUUAUUCUGUAGGUAACGUCAAUCCUCAAGCGUAUUAAGCUUAAGGCCUUCCUCCCUACUUAAAGUGCUUUACGACCCUAGAGCCUUCUUCACACACGCGGUAUGGCUGCGUCAGGCUUUCGCCCAUUGCGCAAUAUUCCCCACUGCUGCCUCCCGUAGGAGUCUGGGCCGUGUCUCAGUCCCAGUGUGGCUGAUCAUCCUCUCAGACCAACUAUAGAUCGUCGCCUUGGUGAGCCUUUACCCCACCAACUAGCUAAUCUAACGCAAGCUCAUCUAAUAGCACGAGGUCCGAAGAUCCCCCGCUUUCCCCCGUAGGGCGUAUGCGGUAUUAGUCUGGUUUUCACCAGGUUAUCCCCCACUAUUAGGUAGAUUCCUACGCAUUACUCACCCGUCCGCCACUCGUCAGCCUCUAGCAAGCUAGAGCUGCUACCGUUCGACUUGCAUGUGUUAAGCCUACCGCCAGCGUUCAAUCUGAGCCAUGAUCAAACUC
rnacentral:rRNA from 1 species